rnacentral:rRNA from 1 species
GUGGGGAAUCUUGCGCAAUGGGCGGAAGCCUGACGCAGCCAUGCCGCGUGGAUGAUGAAGGUCUUAGGAUUGUAAAAUCCUUUCACCGGUGAAGAUAAUGACUGUAGCCGGAGAAGAAGCCCCGGCUAACUUCGUGCCAGCAGCCGCGGUAAUACGAAGGGGGCUAGCGUUGCUCGGAUUUACUGGGCGUAAAGGGCGCGUAGGCGGACAUUUAAGUCAGGGGUGAAAUCCCGGGGCUCAACCUCGGAACUGCCUUUGAUACUGGGUGUCUUGAGUAUGAGAGAGGUGUGUGGAACUCCGAGUGUAGAGGUGAAAUUCGUAGAUAUUCGGAAGAACACCAGUGGCGAAGGCGACACACUGGCUCAUUACUGACGCUGAGGCGCGAAAGCGUGGGGAGCAAACAGGAUUAGAAACCCCUGUAGUCC